rnacentral:rRNA from 2 species
GACGAACGCUGGCGGCGUGCUUAACACAUGCAAGUCGUACGGUAAGGCCCUUUCGGGGGUACACGAGUGGCGAACGGGUGAGUAACACGUGAGUAACCUGCCCACAACUUUGGGAUAACGCUAGGAAACUGGUGCUAAUACUGGAUAUGUGCUCCUGCUGCAUGGUGGGGGUUGGAAAGCUCCGGCGGUUGUGGAUGGACUCGCGGCCUAUCAGCUUGUUGGUGGGGUAGUGGCCUACCAAGGCGGCGACGGGUAGCCGGCCUGAGAGGGUGACCGGCCACAUUGGGACUGAGAUACGGCCCAGACUCCUACGGGAGGCAGCAGUGGGGAAUAUUGCACAAUGGGCGCAAGCCUGAUGCAGCAACGCCGCGUGCGGGAUGACGGCCUUCGGGUUGUAAACCGCUUUCAGCAGGGACGAAGCUUUUUGUGACGGUACCUGCAGAAGAAGCACCGGCUAACUACG